UCCGGCUUAUCACCGGCAGUUUCUUUAGAGUGCUCAACUGAAUGGUAGCAACUAAAGACGAGGGUUGCGCUCGUUGCGGGACUUAACCCAACACCUCACGGCACGAGCUGACGACAGCCAUGCAGCAUCUGCGCACGCUCCCUCGCGGGUCCUCGCCGUUUCCGACUCGUACCACGUGCAUGUCAAGCCCUGGUAAGGUUCCUCGCGUAUCAUCGAAUUAAACCACAUGCUCCUCCGCUUGUGCGGGCCCCCGUCAAUUCCUUUGAGUUUCAGCCUUGCGGCCGUACUCCCCAGGCGGGGUGCUUAAUGCGUUAGCUGCGGCACAGACGGCGUGGAAUACCGCCUACACCUAGCACCCACCGUUUACGGCGUGGACUAC
rnacentral:misc_RNA from 1 species